CGAUCAUGAUUUCACUAAAUUUCAAACAGUUAGCGCAAUUGUUUCUCCCCAACGCAAGAAACAGCAUUCAUCUCGGUAACUGUGGUGUGAUUGGAAUUUUUAGUUUAUGUUUUUAUACAUCAAAGAUACAGUAAACAUGAUUUUUAGCGAAAGAAAUUAUCGCUUACUGAUUAUUUAUGACGUUUAUCGCACCGUCUGAUUUUGGUAUAGGGGCGAAAGACUAAUCGAACAGUCUAGUAGCUGGUUCCCUCUGAAGAUUCCCUCAGGAUAGCUGGAGCACUUAUUGAAGCUGUUACAUUCGGUAAAGCGGAUGAUUAGAGGAAUUGUGGGACGAAACGUCUUCCACCCAUUCUCAAACUCUCAACGAGUAUGGCUUGAAUGAAGCAUAGACCUUGAAUGCGUGCUUCAUUUUUGGUAAGCAGAACUGGCACGCUGUGGGAUGAACCAAACGUUGAGUAAAAAUAAAGAAUAACGUGACAAAUAGUUCGUACUACUGGAUAAUAAACGAUUUAAGAUGGAAAUGAAUUAUUGGGUUUUUCGUUGGUUUUUGGUC
rnacentral:ncRNA from 1 species